UAAUGCCUGCCAAAAUAAAAUGAAACAAAGAAAAAACACACAAAUAAAUAGAAUGACAGUUCUCCAAAGGGUCUUACAUAAACAUUCUAGUACGGGCAUAGAAUGCUUAUCAAAUCAGCAUGAACAAUAACAUUCUAGUACGGACAAACGGAGAUCAUAUAAUUGUCUAACACCAUGCAUUAAAAGAAAUACAUGACUACUUCUACUGAACAAUGCUCCUACAGAGAAAAUUUAGAAGACAUUUAAAAGAAAAGAACGGCAAAGAAAAUAAAGUAAACUUGAAUCAAACCAAUCUAAAAAAAGAAAAUUUAAAAAACAUUUAAAAAAAAAGAACGACAAAGAACAGCAAAGAAAAUAAAAACAAAGUCAACCAAACAAACAUCUGAAAUUAAAACAAGAACGACAAAGUAAAAAGAAAAGGUAAGAGAUAGGCGAGAGAAAACCUGCAUGGCGUUGACGAAACCAUAGAGGCCUCGUUGUAGGUCAUGGCAGGAUUGAGCACGCACAAAAGCACCCUGAGAAGAAAUGCCAGGAAUGAAAUUGCCGGCCUCAUCAUAGCCUGUAACCACUGCAUGCGUCGCACAACACGCCGGUAGCCACAGCGUCACCAACGACGACCUCCUGUAUGGCAUCACUCGAACACCGAAUCUCGUCCAGUUGAGUUCGGUCGCCACACUGUCAUUUCCCUCACGACCACCGUCCUCUGCUCUGUUCAAGUUGAGCACCACCGCAAACCCAAACGCUUAUCACCCUCAACUUGUGCUGAGCCGCCUAACCCCGAGAUGGCUGGUCCAGCUUUCCGAAUUCAAGAAACCAAAGUCUUUUUGACUCUCUUUUUUUGGUCUAUUUCAAAUCCCUUCUAAGUUUUUCCAGCUUUCCGAAUUCAAGAAACCAAUUAGCUCCCUUUCCCUUUUAUCAAUUCCAGUUCCCCCUUUUUUGCCUUUUUAAA
rnacentral:lncRNA from 1 species